rnacentral:rRNA from 1 species
CCUACGGGUGGCAGCAGUGAGGAAUAUUUGUCAAUGGGCGCGAGCCUGAACCAGCCAAGUAGCGUGAAGGAUGACUGCCCUACGGGUUGUACACUUCUUUUAUAAAGGAAUAAAGUGAGGCACGUGUGCCUUUUUGUAUGUACUUUAUGAAUAAGGAUCGGCUAACUCCGUGCCAGCAGCCGCGGUAAUACGGAGGAUGCGAGCGUUAUCCGGAUUUAUUGGGUUUAAAGGGAGCGUAGAUGGGUUGUUAAGUCAGGUGUGAAAGCUUUCGGCUCAACCGUAAAAUUGCAAUUGAUACUGGCAGUCUUGAGUACAGUUGAGGUAGGCGGAAUUCGUGGUGUAGCGGUGAAAUGCUUAGAUAUCACGAAGAACUCCGAUUGCGAAGGCAGCUUACUAAACUGCCACUGACAUUGAUGCUCGAAAGUGUGGGUAUCAAACAGGAUUAGAUACCCUUGUAGUC